UACGGAGGGCGCGAGCGUUAAUCGGAAUUACUGGGCGUAAAGCGCGCGUAGGCUGUUGUGUAAGUUGGGGGUGAAAUCCCACGGCUCAACCGUGGAACAGCCCUUGAUACUGCGCGACUUGAAUCCGGGAGAGGGUGGCGGAAUUCCAGGUGUAGGAGUGAAAUCCGUAGAUAUCGCGCAGAACUCCGAUUGCGAAGGCAGCAUGCCGGCUCCACACUGACGCUGAGGCACGAAAGCGUGGGUAUCGAACAGG
rnacentral:rRNA from 1 species